GUGCUGUUUGUUUUCCUUUUUU
rnacentral:miRNA from 1 species